CCCUUAGAUGUUCUGGGCUGCACACGCGCUACACUGAAGGGAUCAGCGUGUUCUUUUCCUGGUCCGAAAGGAUCGGGUAACCCGCUGAACCCCCUUCGUGGUAGGGAUCGGAGCUUGCAAUUAUUCUCCGUGAACCAGGAAUUCCCAGUAAGCGCAAGUCAUCAGCUUGCAUUGAUUACGUCCCUGCCCUUUGUACACACCGCCCGUCGCACCUACCGAUUGAAUGGUCCGGUGAAAUCUCGGGACGGCGGCUUGGUCGCUUGCGUCCGACUGCUGAAACUUGAUUAAACCAUAUCAUUUAGAGGAAGGUGAAGUCGUAACA
rnacentral:rRNA from 1 species